UACAGAGGGUGCAAGCGUUGUUCGGAAUUAUUGGGCGUAAAGCGCGUGUAGGCGGCUUUGCAAGUCGGGUGUGAAAUCCCUCAGCUUAACUGAGGAAGUGCGCCCGAAACUGCCGAGCUUGAGUGCCGGAGAGGAUGGCGGAAUUCCCCAAGUAGAGGUGAAAUUCGUAGAUAUGGGGGGGAACACCGGCGGCGAAGGCGGCGGCCUGGGUUGAUAUUGACGCUGAGGCGCGAAAGCGUGGGGAGCAAACAGG
rnacentral:rRNA from 1 species